rnacentral:rRNA from 1 species
GACGAACGCUGGCGGCGUGCUUAACACAUGCAAGUCGAACGGAAAGGCCCUUCGGGGUACUCGAGUGGCGAACGGGUGAGUAACACGUGGGUGAUCUGCCCUGCACUUUGGGAUAAGCCUGGGAAACUGGGUCUAAUACCGAAUAUGACCACGCGCUUCAUGGUGUGUGGUGGAAAGCUUUUGCGGUGUGGGAUGGGCCCGCGGCCUAUCAGCUUGUUGGUGGGGUAAUGGCCUACCAAGGCGACGACGGGUAGCCGGCCUGAGAGGGUGACCGGCCACACUGGGACUGAGAUACGGCCCAGACUCCUACGGGAGGCAGCAGUGGGGAAUAUUGCACAAUGGGCGCAAGCCUGAUGCAGCGACGCCGCGUGAGGGAUGACGGCCUUCGGGUUGUAAACCUCUUUCAAUAGGGACGAAGCGCAAGUGACGGUACCUAUAGAAGAAGGACCGGCCAACUACGUGCCAGCAGCCGCGGUAAUACGUAGGGUCCGAGCGUUGUCCGGAAUUACUGGGCGUAAAGAGCUCGUAGGUGGUUUGUCGCGUUGUUCGUG